rnacentral:rRNA from 1 species
AUUGAACGCUGGCGGCAGGCCUAACACAUGCAAGUCGAGCGGUAGAGAGGUGCUUGCACCUCUUGAGAGCGGCGGACGGGUGAGUAAUGCCUAGGAAUCUGCCUGGUAGUGGGGGAUAACGUCCGGAAACGGACGCUAAUACCGCAUACGUCCUACGGGAGAAAGCAGGGGACCUUCGGGCCUUGCGCUAUCAGAUGAGCCUAGGUCGGAUUAGCUAGUUGGUGAGGUAAUGGCUCACCAAGGCGACGAUCCGUAACUGGUCUGAGAGGAUGAUGAGGCACACUGGAACUGAGACACGGUCCAGACUCCUACGGGAGGCAGCAGUGGGGAAUAUUGGACAAUGGGCGAAAGCCUGAUCCAGCCAUGCCGCGUGUGUGUAGAAGGUCUUCGGAUUGUAAAGCACUUUAAGUUGGGAGGAAGGGUACUUACCUAAUACGUGAGUAUUUUGACGUUACCGACAGAAUAAGCACCGGCUAACUCUGUGCCAGCAGCCGCCGUAAGAC